rnacentral:lncRNA from 1 species
CAAGGCCCAGUAAUGCCACUCUCAAUGAAUUUUUCUUGGUAUAGUUACUAAGACUAUAAACUAAGACUAUAAACUAGAUAACCAAGUUAUAUAAAGUUAUAUAAGUUUUAUGGAGAUAAAACUGCUUUCUCAUAUGAUGAAACUAUUUCAUUUAAUAAUUCUGUCAAAUCAGCAAUUUUACUUGACACCUUAUUUAAUAUGCAUUAUACUCCCAUAAAACAUGUAUUGAGACUAGCCUAGGAGCAAGUAUUAUAAGGAUGAUUCAGCCGGCUGAAUCCAAGCCACGUAGGAAAAAGUUGUGAUGUGGCAGACAGAGAAAUGGAGAGAGAGAACCAGCAGGCGCUAAACUCUUCGCCGGCUGAAUAGCCCGAUAUCGUCCGUUCCCAGCCACCUGCGGGCGCUAAGCUGACAUUUCGCUCCUCACGUUUUCUGCCACUCGAUCCCGUGCGGCACCCGCGCCUUCCCUCUCUUCCAACGGCAAAUCCCAUGCGGCACCGGCUGCUCGGCAGCGGUGAGGCCUCGUCUACGUAUGGGCGGGGCCACUCGUCGGCGGCGGGGGCUCACCCGCGCAGGGCGCGGCGGAGUGGCUCGUCGGUAGCACGGCAGGACCGCACGGGGCUAGGUGACUUGCUGCUAUUCGGCAGCGGGGCAAAUCUUCGGCGAUGGCGGGUGGCACCGGACCUGCAGAGUUACAGCCCGUCCAGUGCCUCACUGCCACUCGAGGUCUCGCCGGCGUCAGCGCUAGCCCGUCCGACCACCGCCGCAAAGCCCGCAAUGCUGUCGUACGGACCUAUUGCCUGGAUGCAUAGCUGCCAUAGCCUUGGAUUUGCAUAGUACAGUACGCAUCUUCUAUUGCUCAUUAAUCUUCCCCCAGUGAGAUGUAUUUGAAUUUUUUUAUUUUGGGGAAUAUUGCUCUCUUCUUUCUUAGGCCUUGUUUAGUUCGCAAAAAUUUUCAAGAUUCCCCGUCACAUCGAAUCUUUGGUCGUAUGCAUGGAGCAUUAAAUAAAGAUAAUAAUAAAAACUAAUUACACAGUUUACCUGAAAUUUAUGAGAUGAAUCUUUUGAGCCUAGUUACUCCGUGAUUGGACAAUGUUUGUCAAAUAAAAACAAAAGUGCUACAGUAGCCAAAAAACCAAAAUUUUGCCAACUAAACAAGGCC